rnacentral:tRNA from 1 species
UCGGGGGUCGUCCAACGGGAUAGGACGCCGGGUUUUGAUCCCGGUAAUCGAGGUUCGAGUCCUCGCCCCCGAG